GUGCCAGCAGCCGCGGUAAUACCGGCAGCCCAAGUGAUGGCCGAUCUUAUUGGGUCUAAAGCGUCCGUAGCUGGCCACGCAAGUCCAUCGGGAAAUCCACCUGCCCAACAGGUGGGCGCCCGGUAGAAACUGCGUGGCUUGGGACCGGAAGGCGCGACGGGUACGUCCGGGGUAGGAGUGAAAUCCCGUAAUCCUGGACGGACCGCCGAUGGCGAAAGCACGUCGCGAGGACGGAUCCGACAGUGAGGGACGAAAGCCAGGGUCUCGAACCGGAUUAGAUACCCGCGUAGUCC
rnacentral:rRNA from 1 species